rnacentral:rRNA from 1 species
GACGAACGCUGGCGGCGUGCCUAAUACAUGCAAGUCGAGCGGAGUUGAUGAGGUGCUUGCACCUCUGAUGCUUAGCGGCGGACGGGUGAGUAACACGUAGGCAACCUGCCCUCAAGACCGGGAUAACAUUCGGAAACGAAUGCUAAGACCGGAUACGCAAGUCUGUCGCAUGAUGGGCUUGGGAAACACGGAGCAAUCUGUGGCUUGAGGAUGGGCCUGCGGCGCAUUAGCUAGUUGGUGGGGUAACGGCUCACCAAGGCGACGAUGCGUAGCCGACCUGAGAGGGUGAACGGCCACACUGGGACUGAGACACGGCCCAGACUCCUACGGGAGGCAGCAGUAGGGAAUCUUCCACAAUGGGCGAAAGCCUGAUGGAGCAACGCCGCGUGAGUGAGGAAGGCUUUCGGGUCGUAAAGCUCUGUUGCCAGGGAAGAAUAAGGAUGAGUUAACUGCUCAUUCGAUGACGGUACCUGAGAAGAAAGCCCCGGCUAACUACGUGCCAGCAGCCGCGGUAAUACGUAGGGGGCAAGCGUUGUCCGGAAUUAUUGGGCGUAAAGCGCGCGCAGGCGGUCUUUUAAGUCUGGUGUAUAAGUGCGGGGCUCAACCCCGUGAGGCACUGGAAACUGGGAGACUUGAGUGCAGAAGAGGAGAGCCGGAAUUCCACGUGUAGCGGUGAAAUGCGUAGAGAUGUGGAGGAACACCAUGGCGAAGCGGCUCUCUGGACUGUAACUGACGCUGAGGCCCGAAGCCUGGGGAGCAAACAGGAUUAGAUACCCUGGUAGU